UGCACAGUGGCCUAGUGGUAAGGCGUCUGCACCUCAUGCAGGAAACUAUGGUUCGAUUCCAUACUGUGCAA
rnacentral:tRNA from 1 species